rnacentral:tRNA from 1 species
GCCCGAAUGGCGAAAUUGGUAGACGCAGCAGACUCAAAAUCUGCCAGUGUAAAAGCUGUGCCGGUUCGAGUCCGGCUUCGGGCACCA